rnacentral:rRNA from 1 species
UACGGAGGGUGCGAGCGUUGUCCGGAAUCACUGGGCGUAAAGGGCGCGUAGGCGGCGCGGAAAGUCGUCGGUGAAAGCUCGGGGCUCAACCCUGAGUCUGCCGGUGAUACUCCCGCGCUCGAGCUCACUAGAGGCAGAUGGAAUUCCGGGUGUAGCGGUGGAAUGCGUAGAGAUCCGGAAGAACACCGGUGGCGAAGGCGGUCUGCUGGGGUCGAGGC